GGUCCUGGUCCUGGUCCUGGUCCUGGUCCUGGUCCUGGACCUGGUCCUGGUCCUGGACCUGGUCCUGGUCCUGGUC
ensembl:miRNA Gm23263 predicted gene, 23263